rnacentral:rRNA from 1 species
AACGCGAAGAACCUUACCUGGGCUUGACAUGCAGGGUGAAGCCGGUGAAAGCCGGAGCUCUACGGAGCCUGCACAGGUGGUGCAUGGCUGUCGUCAGCUCGUGCCGUGAGGUGUUGCCUUAAGUGGCGCAACGAGCGCAACCCCUGUCCUCAGUUGCCAGCGGGUCAUGCCGGGAACUCUGGGGAGACUGCCGGUGCCAAACCGGAGGAAGGUGGGGAUGACGUCAAGUCAUCAUGCCCCUUAUGUCCAGGGCUGCACGCAUGCUACAAUGCGCGGUACAAAGGGCUGCGAUCCCGCAAGGGGGAGCGAAUCCCAAAAAGCCGCGCUCAGUUCGGAUCGGGGUCUGCAACCCGACCCCGUGAAGUCGGAGUCGCUAGUAAUCGCAGAUCAGCAACGCUGCGGUGAAUACGUUCCCGGGUCUUGUACACACCG